rnacentral:lncRNA from 1 species
GAUAAAAUACCCAUUACAGAAUCCCAUGGUGGGGGAACAGGAAGGUUUGAGCAUGAAAGGCUGCAUCAUCGAGAGAAUUUGCAUGUGGAUAAGAUACCCAUUACAGAAUUCCACGGUGGAGGAACAGGGAGAUUUGAGCAUGAAAGGCUGCAUCACCGAGAGCAUUUGCCUGUGGAUAGGAAACCCGUUACAGAAUCCCACGGUGAAGGAACAGGGAUAUUUGAGCAUGAAAGACUGCAUCACCGAGAGCAUUUGCCUGUGGAUAGGAAACCCAUCACAGAAUCCCAC